rnacentral:tRNA from 1 species
GGGCCUGUAGUCUAGUCUGGAUAGGACGAGUGGCUUCGGACCACUAAACCCAGGUUCGAAUCCUGGCAGGCCCG